GACGAACGCUGGCGGCGUGCCUAAUACAUGCAAGUAGAACGCACAGUUUAUACCGUAGCUUGCUCCACCAUAGACUGUGAGUUGCGAACGGGUGAGUAACGCGUAGGUAACCUGCCUGGUAGCGGGGGAUAACUAUUGGAAACGAUAGCUAAUACCGCAUAAUAUUCAUUAUUGCAUGAUAAUUAAUUGAAAGGUGCAAUUGCACCACUACCAGAUGGACCUGCGUUGUAUUAGCUAGUAGGUGAGGUAACGGCUCACCUAGGCGACGAUACAUAGCCGACCUGAGAGGGUGAUCGGCCACACUGGGACUGAGACACGGCCCAGACUCCUACGGGAGGCAGCAGGAGGGAAUCUUCGGCAAUGGACGAAAGUCUGACCGAGCAACGCCGCGGGAGGGAAGAAGGGUUUCGGAUCGUAAAGCUCUGUUGUAAGAGAAGAACGGGUGUGAGAGUGGAAAGUUCACACUGUGACGGUAUCUGACCAGAAAGGGACGGCUAACUACGUG
rnacentral:rRNA from 1 species